AGAGUUUGAUCAUGGCUCAGAGCGAACGUUAGCGGCAGGCCUAACACAUGCAAGUCGAGCGAGAAUAGGGCUUCGGCUCUUAGUAAAGCGGCGGACGGGUGCGUAACACG
rnacentral:rRNA from 1 species